rnacentral:rRNA from 1 species
GACGAACGCUGGAGGCGUGUUUAAUACAUGCAAGUCGAACGGAGUGGCGAACGGGUGAGUAACCCGUGGGUGAUCUGCCUUGCACUUCGGGAUAAGCUUGGGAAACUGGUUCCAAUACCGGAUCGAGCAAGAUGAGCUCGCGGCCUAUCAGCUUGUUGUGGGGGUAAUGGCCUACCAAGGCGUCGACGGGUAGCCGGCCUGAGAGGGUGUACGGCCACAUUGGGGCUUGGAUACGGCCCAGGUUUCUACGGGAGGCAGCGGUGGCGACUUUUACAGCAUGGGCGGAGGCAUGCUCCAGCGACGCCGCGUGGGGUUUAGAGGCCUUCGGGUUGUAGACUCCUUACGCCAGUUACGCGGUACCUUUCUAAGACUCCCCGGCUCCCUACGUGCCAGCCGCCGCGGUAAUUC